CUUGUUAUUCUGCAGGAAGAGAGCAUCUGGGUGCUUGCAGAAAUAAAACAUAUGGGGAAAGCACAGUCAGGUGCUGUGCAUAGUGAUCGUAAUAAACUUGUUCAGAGGCUAUUUCAAAUUACUCUGCUCCUCAGGACAAAACAGGAUUGCUCCAGCCGUGAGAUGUAGAAACUACAGAAACUACAGGAACAGGAACUACAAACCAAAUACAAAAUCCUUGUGGUGGAAGCAGCAACAGAUCCUACAUUCAGUCAAGAGCACAGCUGUUGAAUUGAAUCUCUCGCCUAUUGGUGGGUUCUGGUUCACAACACAGAGCAGUCUUGGAGAAUACAAAUGGGAUGCCUUUUGGACAAAAGUAAACUGGACAUGCACUGAAAAAACCUCCCAGAAGUAUUGUAGUUGGACCAUCAUCUUGUACAGGAAAAUGGCAAUGUUGGGGUGUUUGGGGUGUUGGGGUUCUAGUUUGGUUUUGGUUGGCGUAGGGAAAACUGGCAUUUUGGUCAGAUUUUAUCGAAACCCUUGAUUAAAAACUAAUGCUUUAGAUAAUGCAGUUUCCUGGUACACAUCAUUUAAUAGUACACUUGAUAAGGAAAUAUAUACCAUAUAUAUAUUACUGUGGUUCCAAUUCUGAUUCUUUAAAACAAAUGCUUAUGCAUGUAAAAAAAUAAAAAAAAAUAAAAAAAAAGAGCCUAUGUUUCA
ensembl:lncRNA